UAAAAGCAAGACCACAAACUCUCCCAUGAGGCGUGGUAUUCUUGAGGCUCAGAAUAUCUUGAAAAAAGGUUGUCAAAUGGUAAUUGGGGACGACUCCUCAAUUCAUUCUUGGUUCCAGCCAAGGAUACCAUGGUUAAGCUAUACUGAGUUUAGAGAGUUCUUGGAGGCUCGUAGAGUUAGGGCCCCUAAUGUUAAAGCAGUUGGAUGAUGUAUCCAUAAAGAAUGAAUGGAACCUAACAAUGUUGAGGAAGAUUUUUGGACAAGACACAUGGGAGAAGAUAGCAAAAAUAAAGAGAGAAGAGACACUCUAGUUUGGAAGGAGAAGUUAAAGGAAAGUUUUCUGACAAAUUUGCAUACAGAGAAGAUCAAAAGUCGAGAUUCAGAAAACCGAACAGAAUUUGGAAUGUUAUUUGGAGGCCUCAGAUUCAUAUCAGGACAAGUAUGAUGUUGUGGAGGGUCAUGUCGGAAUCACUUCCCACAAGGAGUAACCUCGAGUUCUUAGUGGACAAGCAAUGCAUUUUCUGCAGUGAACAUGAGGAAACACAUCUUCAUAUUUUCAAAGAAUGUCCAUUGGCUAGAGCUCUCUGGUUUGCAUUACCUAUCCAGGUACGGGCCAACAAUAUUCAAGCUUCCACAAUGGAAGAGUUCAUUUCUAAACUGGUUAGAGGUAAUGAGGUAAGUAUAGAUAUGGAAAUACUGGCCUAUGCAUGCAGGAUGCCUAUUUGAAUCUAUAUGGCUUGAAAGAAACACCAGGCUAUACAAAGGGAAGCAUCGAACUGCCCAGGAUUUGAUCACUGUAAUUGCAAACAAAAAUAUAGAACUUAAUUCGGCAAGGGCAUGGAACGAAACAUACGGAAGCCUCAAGCAACCUAUGGUGGAGCAAGAUAAAAUACCAGAGGAAGUCAACAUCAUUAUGUUCUGUGAUGCAGCUUGGAAGGAAGAGAUUUGGCUUAGCAGUGGUAGCAAUCUCAAAGAAUUCUGAUAGCGCAGGUUCUGCUAUGGAAACUGAACUUCUAGCCAUCAAGUUGACAAUGGAUUUGGCAACAAGGAAAGGGUGGAAGUCAAUUGCCAUUCUAUCAGAUGCUAAAAUUGCAGUGCAGUCUGUGAACAAGAAGCAAACACCACCGGAUUGUGAGACAUGGACUGUGUUUUAUGAAAUUUUAUCUUUGAUUAAGAGUUUCGAUUGUUGUAGGUUUAGUUUCAUUAAUCGUGAAAACAAUGUAA